rnacentral:rRNA from 1 species
GUCUACGGCCAUGACACCCUGAACGUCCUCGAUUUCAUCUGAUCUCGGAAGCUAAGUAGGGUUGUGCCUGGUUAGUAUUUGGAUGGGAGACCACAUAGGAAUACCAGGUGCUGUAGGGA